rnacentral:misc_RNA from 1 species
GAUGAAGAACGUAGCGAAAUGCGAUACGUAAUGUGAAUUGCAAAUUCAGUGAAUCAUCGAGUCUUUGAACGCACAUUGCGCCCCCUGGUAUUCCGGGGGGCAUGCCUGUCCGAGCGUCAUUGCUGCCCUCAAGCACGGCUUGUGUGUUGGGCCCCGUCCUCCGAUCCCGGGGGACGGGCCCGAAAGGCAGCGGCGGCACCGCGUCCGGUCCUCGAGCGUAUGGGGCUUUGUCACCCGCUCUGUAGGCCCGGCCGGCGCUUGCCGAUCAACCCAAAUUUUUAUCCAGGUUGACCUCGGAUCAGGUAGGGAUGCCCGCUGAACUUAAGCAUAUCAAUAAGCGGAGGA